rnacentral:rRNA from 1 species
AUCACGUUGAAACAUUGGUUCCUGUACGAUCACCGAAGUUAAGCAAUGUUGAUCCGUGUCAGUACCAAGAUGAGGGACCGCUUGAGAACACUGCGUACUGUAA